GUGCUCACUUCGGCAGCACAUAUACUAAUAUUGGAAUGACACAGAGAAGAUUCACAUGGCCCCUGCUCAAGGAUGACAUGUAAAUUUGUGAAGUGUUCCAUUUUUAA
ensembl:snRNA U6 U6 spliceosomal RNA